GUAGGUGGCAAGCGUUGUCCGGAAUUAUUGGGCGUAAAGCGCGCGCAGGCGGUCCUUUAAGUCUGAUGUGAAAGCCCACGGCUCAACCGUGGAGGGUCAUUGGAAACUGGGGGACUUGAGUACAGAAGAGGAAAGCGGAAUUCCAAGUGUAGCGGUGAGAUGCGUAGAGAUCUGGAGGAACACCAGUGGCGAAGGCGGCUUUCUGGUCUGUAACUGACGCUGAGGCGCGAAAGCGUGGGGAGCAAACAGGGAUUAGAUACCCUGGUAGUCCACGCCGUAAACGAUGAGUGCUAAGUGUUAGGGGGUUUCCGCCCCCCUUAGUGCUGCAGCUAACGCAUUAAGCACUCCGCCUGGGGAGUACGGCCGCAAGGCUG
rnacentral:rRNA from 1 species